rnacentral:rRNA from 1 species
UAGGGAAUCUUCCACAAUGGACGCAAGUCUGAUGGAGCAACGCCGCGUGAGUGAAGAAGGUUUUCGGAUCGUAAAGCUCUGUUGUUGGUGAAGAAGGAUAGAGGUAGUAACUGGCCUUUAUUUGACGGUAAUCAACCAGAAAGUCACGGCUAACUACGUGCCAGCAGCCGCGGUAAUACGUAGGUGGCAAGCGUUGUCCGGAUUUAUUGGGCGUAAAGCGAGCGCAGGCGGAAGAAUAAGUCUGAUGUGAAAGCCCUCGGCUUAACCGAGGAAUUGCAUCGGAAACUGUUUUUCUUGAGUGCAGAAGAGGAGAGUGGAACUCCAU